rnacentral:rRNA from 1 species
GAACGGGUGAGUAACACGUGGGUAAUCUGCCCUUCACUCUGGGACAAGCCCUGGAAACGGGGUCUAAUACCGGAUAUCACUCUCACGGGCAUCUGUGAGGGUUGAAAGCUCCGGCGGUGAAGGAUGAGCCCGCGGCCUAUCAGCUUGUUGGUGAGGUAACGGCUCACCAAGGCGACGACGGGUAGCCGGCCUGAGAGGGCGACCGGCCACACUGGGACUGAGACACGGCCCAGACUCCUACGGGAGGCAGCAGUGGGGAAUAUUGCACAAUGGGCGCAAGCCUGAUGCAGCGACGCCGCGUGAGGGAUGACGGCCUUCGGGUUGUAAACCUCUUUCAGCAGGGAAGAAGCGAAAGUGACGGUACCUGCAGAAGAAGCGCCGGCUAACUACGUGCCAGCAGCCGCGGUAAUACGUAGGGCGCAAGCGUUGUCCGGAAUUAUUGGGCGUAAAGAGCUCGUAGGCGGCUUGUCACGUCGGGUGUGAAAGCCCGGGGCUUAACCCCGGGUCUGCAUUCGAUACGGGCAGGCUAGAGUGUGGUAGGGGAGAUCGGAAUUCCUGGUGUAGCGGUGAAAUGCGCAGAUAUCAGGAGGAACACCGGUGGCGAAGGCGGAUCUCUGGGCCAUUACUGACGCUGAGGAGCGAAA